UAGGGAAUUUUCGGCAAUGGGGGAAACCCUGACCGAGCGACGCCGCGUGAGGGAUAAAGGCCUUCGGGUUGUAAACCUCUGUCUUCGGGGACGAUGAUGACGGUACCCGAGGAGGAAGCCACGGCUAACUACGUGCCAGCAGCCGCGGUAAGACGUAGGUGGCGAGCGUUGUCCGGAAUUAUUGGGCGUAAAGGGCGUGUAGGCGGCCUGUCAAGUCAGACGCGAAAUCCCUGGGCUUAACCUUGGGACUGCGUUUGAUACUGAUGGGCUUGAGGACAGGAGAGGACAGUGGAACUCCGUGUGUAGAGGUGAAAUGCUCAGAUAUACGGAAGAACACCAGUGGCGAAGGCGACUUUCUGGACGG
rnacentral:rRNA from 1 species